rnacentral:rRNA from 1 species
AGUGAACGCUGGCGGUAGGCCUAACACAUGCAAGUCGAGCGGCAGCACAGUAAGAGCUUGCUCUUACGGGUGGCGAGUGGCGGACGGGUGAGGAAUACAUCGGAAUCUACAUUUUCGUGGGGGAUAACGUAGGGAAACUUACGCUAAUACCGCAUACGACCUACGGGUGAAAGCAGGGGAUCUUCGGACCUUGCGCGAUUGAAUGAGCCUAUGUCGGAUUAGCUAGUUGGCGGGGUAAAGGGCCACCCAGGCGACGCUCCGUAGCUGGUCUGAGAGGAUGAUCAGCCAGCCUGGAACGGAGGCACGGUCCAGACUCCGAGAGGGGGCAGCAGUGGGGAAUAUUGGAGAAUGGGCGCAAGCCUGAUCCAGCCAUACCGCGUGGGUGAAGAAGGACUUCGGGUUGUAAAGCCCUUUUGUUGGGAAAGAAAAGCAGCAGGUUAAUACCCCGCUGUUCUGACGGUACCCAAAGAAUAAGCACCGGCUAACUUCGUG